UGUCACAACCAGAUCUGGUCCUGGAUCAGUGGCUGAGUCUUGAUGGAGCCUCACCUGACAGUCAGAUUCUACUGAGGGCUGAACUCAAGGUGCUGUGUCCCAAGAAGUGUGAGAUUGAUGUGGAGAGGGCAGAUCAACCCAGAGCUCGAGCCACCUCCACUGCUGAACAGAGACUGGAGAGAGAGACAGUGCAGCAGAGGUCUAGUUCAGUGGACACUCCCAGUGCUCCAGCCCCCAGCUCUCC